rnacentral:lncRNA from 1 species
UCAAGUGUAAGAGAUAGGGAUGAGUUUCUGUACAGUGCUUCCCGGCCAGUCUCAAAGUUAGAUAUAUGACGUUACGAGAAUGUUAUGCAUAGAAUCCCUACAAUGUAGGAAUCAAAGAAAAAUAAUUGAGAUCAUAUAUCUACACAACUUAAGAUUUAAGUACAUUUUGUAAGAAAUCUAUUGUUACUUAUAUAUGUUAUUGGUGGAACUUCAAG